rnacentral:rRNA from 1 species
AAGCUCGUAGUUGAAUUUCGGGAUUAGUACGUCGGUCGUGCCUUAGGUACGUACUGGUGUUACUGGUUCCUACCUUCUGACGAACCAUCAUGUCAUUAAUUUGGUGUGGUGGGGAAUCAGGACUGUUACUUUGAAAAAACUUAGAGUGUUUAAAGCAGGCUCGCGCUUGAAUACAUUAGCAUGGAAUAAUGAAAUAGGACGUUGAUCCUAUUUUGUUGGUUUCUAGGAUUGACGUAAUGAUUAAUAGGGAUAGUUGGG